rnacentral:rRNA from 1 species
AUCAGUAGGGGAGAUGAGAGUCUAAGCCUCAAGAAGGACACUGAGAUACUGGUCCUAGCCCUAAGGGGUGCAGCAGUCACGGAAACUUUACAAUGCGCGAAAGCGUGAUAAGGGUAUCCUAAGUGCUUAUGCUUUGCAUAAGCUUUUGCCAAGUGUAAAAAGCUUGGAGAAUAAGUGGUGGGAAAGACUGGUGCCAGCCGCCGCGGUAACACCAGCGCCACAAGUGGUAACCAUGAUUAUUGGGCCUAAAGCGUUCGUAGCCUGUUUGAUAACUUUCUUGUGAAAUUGUUCAGCCUAACUGAACAGCGUGCAAGAAAAACUGUCAAACUUGGAACCGGUAGGGGAUAGAGGUAUUUCAAGGGGAGCGGUAAAAUGCUAUAAUCCUUGGAGGACCACCAAUGGCGAAGGCAUCUAUCCAGGACGGAUUCGACGGUCAGGAACGAAGGCUAGGGGAGCAAAACGGAUUAGAUACCCGAGUAGUCCUAGCUGUAAACGCUGUGAGCUGAGUGUUGCAUUUUCUUCGUGGAUGUGCAGCGCUUAAGUGAAGAUGUUAAGCUCACCGCCUGGGAAGUAUAGUCGCAAGACCGAAACUUAAAGGAAUUGGCGGGGGCUCGCUACAAGGAGUGCGGCGUGCGGUUUAAUCUAAUUUAACGCAGAGAAUCUCACCAGCAGCGACGGCAGGAUGAAGGUCAGUCUAAAGGGCUUACCUGACGAGCCGAGAGGUGGUGCAUGGCCGCCGUCAGUUCGUGCCGUAAGGUGUUACGUUAAGUCGUAAAACGAACGAGACCCAUGCUCAUAUUUGCUAGCAUCUUCUCAGGAAG